rnacentral:rRNA from 1 species
UACGUAGGGUCCGAGCGUUGUCCGGAAUUACUGGGCGUAAAGCGUGCGCAGGCGGUUUUGUAAGUCUGUCGUGAAAUCCCCGGGCUCAACCUGGGAAUGGCGAUGGAGACUGCAAGGCUAGAAUCUGGCAGAGGGGGGUAGAAUUCCACGUGUAGCAGUGAAAUGCGUAGAGAUGUGGAGGAACACCGAUGGCGAAGGCAGCCCCCUGGGUCAAGAUUGACGCUCAUGCACGAAAGCGUGGGGAGCAAACAGG